GUUCAGACCCCUGCCAGCGCCGCUCGUCCAUCUGUGCGCCACUCGGGGCACGCCCACGGGCGCACACAUCCAGGAACGAGCCGCGCGCGUCCCCGCCCUGCAGCAGCUGCCAGCUGCAAUCAGUCACCUGCAAACUUCACACCUGAUGGUAAUGACGGAGCUGCCUUUAUAGACCUGGACAACCUGCCAUCACUGGCCGGAUUAUAGCCAUCUGUACCUGACUCUUCCCGUGUUUCUCCUGGAUCCCCUGUUGUUCCCCUUGCCCCCCGGACUGCCUUUUGGAUUCUCGACCUCCCGCUUGGACACGUUUUCCCACGGACUUCCGCGUUACUUCACUUCCGUCAACAUUUUGCUCUUCCCGUGUUUCUCCUGGAUCCCCUGUUGUUCCCCUUGCCCCCCGGACUGCCUUUUGGAUUCUCGACCUCCCGCUUGGACACGUUUUCCCACGGACUUCCGCGUUACUUCACUUCCGUCAACAUUUUGGUAAG